rnacentral:ncRNA from 2 species
CGGUCUCUUCAGGGCAGGGUGAAAUUCCCGACCGGCGGUGAUGCAGGCGCAGCGCCUGCGCAGUCCGCGAGCGAAAGCUGAACCGGUGAAAAUCCGGUACCGACAGUCCGAGUCCCGUGCGGCAGAAGCCGCGCGGCGCUUUACAGUCUGGAUGGAAGAAGAAGUCC